CCAAUAGCGUAUAUUAAAGUUGUUGCAGUUAAAAAGCUCGUAGUUGAAUUUCGGGAUCAAUAUGUCGGUCGUGCCUUUGGUACGUACUGGCAUUAUUGGUUUCUCUCUUCUGAAGAACCUUGAUGUCAUUAAUUUGGUGUCUUGGGAAAUCAGGACUGUUACCUUGAAAAAAUUAGAGUGUUUAAAGCAGGCUCACGCUUGAAUACAUUAGCAUGGAAUAAUGAAAUAGGACAUUUGAUUCUAUUUUGUUGGUUUCUAGGAUCGACGUAAUGAUUAAUAGGGAUAGUUGGGGGCAUUAGUAUUCAAUUGUCAGAGGUGAAAUUCUUGGAUUUAUUGAAGACUAACUACUGCGAAAGCAUUUGCCAAGGAUGUUUUCAUUAAUCAAGAACGAAAGUUAGGGGAUCGAAGACGAUCAGAUACCGUCGUAGUCUUAACCAUAAACUAUGCCGACUAGGGAUCGGAUGAUGUUAAUUUUUUAAUGACUCAUUCGGCGCCUUAC
rnacentral:rRNA from 1 species